rnacentral:misc_RNA from 1 species
UUUCCGUAGGUGAACCUGCGGAAGGAUCAUUAUUGAAUAUGCUUGAUAGGUUGUAGCUGGCUCUUCGGAGUAUGUGCACGCUUAUCUUGACUUAAUUCAUCCACCUGUGCACCUUUUGUAGUCUUGGGGGUUGAGAUCGGUCGACUAUCGGAUGGCCAAGGUCAUUCCGGAUGUGAGGAAUGCUGAGUGCGAAAGCAUACAGCUCUUCUUAAAUGACUUGUCUUCCUCGAGUACUAUGUAUUCAUAUACCACAUAGUAUGUUGUAGAAUGUGAUCAAUGGGUCUAUGUACCUAUAAUAAUCAUAUACAACUUUCAGCAACGGAUCUCUUGGCUCUC